AUUGAACGCUGGCGGCAGGCCUAACACAUGCAAGUCGAACGAGUGGCGGACGGGUGAGUAAUGUCUGGGAAACUGCCUGAUGGAGGGGGAUAACUACUGGAAACGGUAGCUAAUACCGCAUACCAUCGGAUGUGCCCAGAUGGGAUUAGCUAGUAGGUGGGGUAAAGGCUCACCUCGGCGACGAUCCCUAGCUGGUCUGAGCGGAUAACAGGCGACACUGGAACUGAGACACGGUCCAGACUCCUACGGGAGGCAGCAGAGGGGAAUAUUGCACAAUGGGCACAAGCCUGAUGAAGCCAGGCCGCGUGUAGGAAGAAGGCCUUCGGGUUGUAAAGUACUUUCAGCGGGGAGGCGUUACCCGCAGAAGAGGCACCGGCUAACUCCGUGCCAGCAGCCGCGUAAUAC
rnacentral:rRNA from 1 species